rnacentral:rRNA from 1 species
CCAAUAGCGUAUAUUAAAGUUGUUGCAGUUAAAAAGCUCGUAGUUGAAUUUCGGGGUUAGUAAGCUGGUCGUGCCACUGGUAUGUACUGGUUUUACUGAUCUCUCCUUCUUGUAGAACCGUAAUGCCAUUAAUUUGGUGUUGCGGGGAAACAGGACUGUUACUUUGAAAAAAUUAGAGUGUUUAAAGCAGGCUAACGCUUGAAUACAUUAGCAUGGAAUAAUGAAAUAGGACGUUCGAUCCUAUUUUGUUGGUUUCUAGGAUUGACGUAAUGAUUAAUAGGGAUAGUUGGGGGGAUUAGUAUUCAAUUGUCAGAGGUGAAAUUCUUGGAUGUAUUGAAGACUAACUACUGCGAAAGCAGUUGCCAAGGAUGUUUUCAUUAAUCAAGAACGAAAGUUAGGGGAUCGAAGACGAUCAGAUACCGUCGUAGUCUUAACCAUAAACUAUGCCGACUAGGGAUCGGAUGAUGUUAAUUUUUUAAUGACUCAUUCGGCGCCUUACG